GAAAUAAGACCGAGAUGCGGGAAUGGACUCGUGGAACAAGGAGAGGAAUGCGACUGCGGAAGCGAAGAGGAUUGCCUGGAGCGAGAUCCAUGUUGUGAAGCCAAGGGCUGUAAGCUGAAGCCUGGCUCGCAGUGCAGUGUGCUGAAUCAUGCUUGCUGUCAAGAAUGUGUGUUUAAACCUCACGGUAUCUUAUGUCGCGUUAGUGAGGGCGACUGCGAUGUACCAGAGUAUUGCCCAGGAGACAAAGGAGAUGUAAGUAAAAUACCGCAUAACAUUAACAUUUAUAUCAAUCGUAUAGUUAAACUCAUUCCAUACAAAGAAACCUUCUUCUCAAAAGUCUUUCUUGUAUAAGACUCGCCAUAAAUUCACUGGGAAUAUCCUGAACAGGUCAGGUUGUCGCGAAUGUCUCAAAAAUUAGCCCUGAGCUGAAAUUUUGAAGGGAACGUUUUU